rnacentral:rRNA from 1 species
UUGCGGUUAAAAAGCUCGUAGUUGGAUUUCUGUCCGAGGCAGCCGGUCCGCACCUGGUGCGUGUAUCAGGUUUGACUAGGGCAUCCUCUUGGGGAACGUUUCUGUGCUUCAUUGCAUGGGACGGAAUUCAAGACUUUUACUUUGAGGAAAUUAGAGUGUUCACGGCAAGCUAUCGCUUUGAAUACAUUAGCAUGGAAUAGUAAUAUAGGGCGUAAGUCUUAUUUUGUUGGUUUCUAGGACAUACGCAAUGAUUAAUAGGGACAAUUGGGGGCAUUCGUAUUAACGCGUCAGAGGUGGAAUUCUUAGAUUGCGUUACGACGAACUACUGCGAAAGCAUUUGCCAAGGAUGUUUUCAUUGAUCAAGAACGAAAGUAUGGGGAUCGAAGACGAUUAGAUACCGUCGUAGUCUAUACCAUAAACUAUGCCAAUUAGAGAUUGGAGGUCGUUCGUUUUAUGACUCCUUCAGCACCUUAUGAGAAAUCAAAAUUUUUGGGUUCCGGGGGGAGUAUGAUCGCAAGGCUGAAACUUAAAGGAAUUGACGGAAGGGCACCACCAGGAGUGGAGCCUGCGGCUUAAUUUGACUCAACACGGGA